UGGGCUAAUACCGGAUGGCCGAAAGGUAGAAGAGUUAGUGCCUAAAGAUGAGCUCGCGUCUGAUUAGCUAGUAGGUGGGGUAAAAGCCUACCUAGGCGACGAUCAGUAGCUGGUCUGAGAGGAUGAUCAGCCACACUGGGACUGAGACACGGCCCAGACUCCUACGGGAGGCAGCAGUGGGGAAUUUUCCGCAAUGGGCGAAAGCCUGACGGAGCAAUACCGCGUGAGGGAGGAAGGCUCUUGGGUUGUAAACCUCUUUUCUCAAGGAAUAAAAAAAUGACGGUACUUGAGGAAUAAGCAUCGGCUAACUCCGUGCCAGCAGCCGCGGUAAUACGGAGGAUGCAAGCGUUAUCCGGAAUGAUUGGGCGUAAAGGGUCCGCAGGUGGCCGUGUAAGUCUGCUGUUAAAGAGCGAAGCUCAACUUUGUAAAAGCAGUGGAAACUACACAGCUAGAGUGCGUUCGGGGCAGAAGGAAUUCCUGGUGUAGCGGUGAAAUGCGUAGAGAUCAGGAAGAACACCGGUGGCGAAAGCGCGCUGCUAGGCCGCAACUGACACUGAGGGACGAAAGCUAGGGGAGCGAAUGGGAUUAGAUACCC
rnacentral:rRNA from 1 species